AGUGAACGCUGGCGGUAGGCCUAACACAUGCAAGUCGAACGGCAGCACAGUAAGACCUGGCCUUUACGGGGCGCGAGGGGGGGGCGGGUGAGAUGUACAUGGGACUCUACUUUUGCGUGGGGUAUCACGGGGGAAAACUGACUCUUAUACCGCAUACCCCCUACGGGUAAACGCAGGGGAUCUUGACACUUUGCGCGAGGCUAUGAGGAUGUCGGAUUAGCUAGUUGGAGGGGUAAAGGCCCACCAAGGCGACGAUCCGUAGCUGGUCUGAGAGGAUGAUCAGCCACACUGGAACUGAGACACGGCCCAGACUCCUACGGGAGGCAGCAGUGGGGAAUAUUGGACAAUGGGCGCAAGCCUGAUCCAGCCAUGCCGCGUGGGUGAAGAAGGCCUUCGGGUUGUAAAGCACUUUUGUUGGGAAAGAAAAGCAGCAGGUUAAUACCCGGCUGUCAUGACGGUACCCAAAGAAUAAGCACCGGCUAACUUCGUG
rnacentral:rRNA from 1 species